CCCAUCUGGGCAGAGGGAUCCUCCUCCUCUCAUCACUGGUGCUGGGUCUCCUUAGGCUGAGCUUCUCUUUGUUUAGGUGCUUCCUUCUGCUUGCUCCUGAAGAGUUGAAGUACUUGGUGGAACUGGAAGCUCACAGAUAUAAUUUCCUAACUCUCUCCAGCAGUGGCACAGAAGAUAGAUUUCUGAAAGCUACCUGUGAGUCAGAAGGAAGGCUGGCAGGAGCAGAGAAAUGGAAUAACUUGCCUCAUAUACACAUGGCUGGCUCUCUACCAAACUCAUAUUCCUGCUCUAGGUGAAAUAGGGCACUCAAAGCAAUUCAGUUAUUCAGAAAAUCUUCUUAUGCCUUUCCCCUCCCUUUCUCACCAUAUUAUUCCCUUGCAUUCAAUACUGCUUGUGAAUCCUCAUUGCUUAUCCCAUUCACACAUGGAAAAUCACCUUGAAGGUGCUCUUAACACUUGGGGUUAAGUCUUCAGAUUGUCAGCAAAUUUGCAGACUUGCCAUUCCUUCAAUUUCUAAGGACUGUGGAGCCCUAUCUCCUUCUGAUUACAUUCCUUUAGAGUUGUCAAAGCCUGUAGCUGAAUUACUUGACUCAUAAUAGAAGAACUGUCAGCCAGUGAAAUCAUAUGAAAUUAUUUUCCAGAAGAAAUGGAGCAAGAUUCAUAUUUCCUACAUUUAGACAUCUACCUGAUGGUAGACAUCUGUGUCUGAGGUAGUUAGCUGGAUUCUUUUUUUUAUAGUCAGUAGAAAAACACACAUUUGCAGGAUAAGAUUCCCAUCUGCUAAGGCAAUUGUUUCUUAAACAGGUUGAGCGAAUAGCUAUCUGGAAAUGCCUCUUUCUCUCCAUUAACUACUAAAAAACAACAAACAAACAAAAAAAUGUUUGGAGAGGCCAUAGAGACAAGUCCAAAGUCAGACAAGAGGAAUUUUUAUCUGCUCAAGGCCAAAGAUAAAGAAAGUAAAGUGGAACUGAGUUCUGAAACCUCCAUGAAGGUGGUGCAUUUUAUUCAGAAUUGAUUGAUUACUGACAUCCAUAUGAGCUAAGACACUACUUGUGGAACCAGUUGUUUGUUACAACAUGAAGGUUACUUUGGUAAAGGAUGAUAUUAAUGAAGAUUUACAUUCACAUGGAACCAAGAUCAAAAAGAUACGAGUCGAUUCAUUCUCUGUAUAUGGGUGGAAAACUUUGAAAAACAGCCAGUAUCAGAAAGUGCUGGGAAUUUUCCCAGUCUCAUGACAGAAAUGUUCAAAGCAAAGAAGUCCUAUGGUCAGCUAACUGCACAAGCGCCAGUAUAUUCAGACACGAGAGACAUCAUUUCAAGUUUCUGCAUAGUAUAAUUCAGGUCAAAGUAUUUUGCAUUCUAGAUGGAUGCCCUAAAUUCCUUAUUAUAAAAUAAUGUGAUUUUUAAAUUAUUCUAUGAAGAGACAAAAUGAGAGAAAUUCAACUGGAAAUGUAAAAUAUUGAUUUUUUUUUUUUUUUAGGUCAUUACAACAAACAUCUCUAAGUCAACAUAGAUUUUAUCUUGUGUUUUCCACCUUGCUUUAGAACUCUGUCUCUCCAACUAAAACUCUGCUUAUUACUGGAAACCAAUUAUUUGUAACCUGACUAAACUUUGUAAUUUUUUUUUUCCCCUUGGGGCUCCCUAAAUUUUUUUACCCAACUGCUGAAUGGCAGUUGUCCCACCAUUCCCAAGUUACACUCAGGCCCCAAUAUCUAUGCAGUUUGUAAAAUAUUUUCUGGGAAAAGAAAGUAAUAAAAAUUAGAAAGUCUGUCAAGCAAAAGAAA